GUGCUCAUUUUGACAGCACAUAUACUAAGUUGGGAUGAUACAGAAAAGAUUAGCAUGACCCCUGCACAAUGAUGACAGGUGAAUUUGUGAAAUGUUUCAUAUUUUU